rnacentral:lncRNA from 1 species
UUGGAACUCGCCCAAUUAAUCCAUUCGCGCACUUUAGUCAGUUUGCCUAAAGUUCGUCAUUUUCUAUCUAGGUUUCAAUACGUUACAUUCUUCACCCCUUAUAUUUAGUUUCAUCCGCGAAACUAGCUUACUUUAACUCAAAUUCAUACCUUAGUUCAGCUCGUCGAAGAGAUGAGGGUAAUGUUCCCUCAUUGCGCUCUCGAGCUCCCCAGUAGCUUCUCGUUCGUCGUGAUUACACCAACGAAUUUUAACAUACGGAAUCUCGCGAUUUCGUAGUUUUCUUACUUCUCGGUCGAUUAUGUAUGCCGGGAACUCCUCAUAGGUCAUGUCCUUUUGAAUUUCGGACGGUUCAAACGAGAGAACAUGCUCGGGGUCGUGCACAUACUUGUGGAGAUUCGAUACAUGGAACACGUCGUGUACUCCCGCAAGCCUCGGUGGUAAUGCUAUCCUGUAUGCCACCGCGCCGACCCGCUCCAACACCUCAAACGGUCCAAGGUAUCGGGGACUUAGCUUCCCACGAAUUCCAAACCGCUUAAUCCCUCGCAUCGGCGAAAUCUUUAAAAACACGUGGUCUCCAACGGCAAAUUCUAUAUCUUUCCUCCGUUUGUCGGCAUAGCUCUUUUGCCGAGAUUGCGCCGUAGCAAGUCGUUGGCGAGCAAGACGGACUUUCUCCUCCGCCUCCCGCACUACAUCGGGGCCAAGAGCCGCCCUUUCGCCCACAUCGCUCCAAUGAAUUGGAGAGCGACACUUCUUCCCAUAAAGGGCCUCGAAUGGCGCCAUCGCGAUACUUUCUUGAUAGCUGUUAUUGUACGCGAACUCCGCCAUCGGAAGAUGAUCAUGCCAAUUGCCCUUAUAAUCCAGUACACACGCUCGAAGCAUAUCCUCAAGUAUUUGUAUUGUCCUCUCCGAUUGACCGUCACUUUGAGGAUGAAAUGCCGUGCUAAAGUCGAGUCGCGUUCCCAAGGCCCCCUGUAGGCUCCUCCAAAAGUGAGAGGUGAACCUCGGGUCCCGAUCCGACACGAUAGACACGGGCACCCCAUGAAGUCUCACAAUCUCGUCAAUAUACACUUGAGCCAACUUGUCCCCCGACAAAGUAAUAUGAAUCGGUAGGAAAUGCGCUGACUUCGUCAAUCGGUCUACAAUCACCCAAAUUGCAUCGUGCCCACCUUGAGAUCGAGGCAACCCGGUCACGAAGUCCAUUGCAAUAUUUUCCCACUUCCAAACGGGUAUAGGUAAACUUUGCAACUUUCCCGCCGAAAACCGUCGCUCCGCUUUUACUUGUUGACAAGUAAGGCAUUGCGCCACAAACUCCCCAAUGUCUUUCUUCAUGCCCGGCCACCAAUAGUGCAACUUCAAAUCUUGAUACAUUUUGGUGCCGCCCGGGUGUAUACUAUAAGGGAAUUGGUGCGCCUCUUGCAUGAUUGCCCUGCGGAUGUCCUUAUUCUUAGGCACACACCAACGGUUUCUAAACCGGAGUGCGCCGUCGGUCCCAAUACCAAAAUCAUCGGCACUACCGCUCUCAACUUCCCCACGCAUCUUUUGGAGAUAUUCAUCUGAAGCUUGCAACUCUUUAAUCUUCUCCAAUAGCGUCGGUUGAACAACUAACGCCGCAAGUGUCGCCGGUACUCCCGGUGCUACCACCUCCAAUCAAAGCCGUUGCAUCUCCUUUUGUAGUAAUGGUUGGGGUGUAAUUACCGAAGCCAAAUUUUUCCCCGAUUUUCUGCUAAGUGCAUCGGCUACGACAUUCGCCUUCCCGGGGUGGUAUAGAAUAGUAACAUCAUAGUCUUUCAACAAUUCUAACCACCGCCGCUGUCGCAUAUUCAACUCCUUUUGGGUGAACAGGUACUUAAGGCUUUUGUGAUCCGUAUAGAUCUCACAAUGUUCCCCAUAUAGGUAAUGCCUCCAUAGCUUUAGCGCGAAAAUAACCGCCGCUAGCUCAAGAUCAUGAAUCGGGUAGUUCUUCUCGUAAGUCUUCAGUUGGCGUGAAGCAUAAGCUAUAACCCGCCCGUUUUGCAUCAAGACACACCCGAGUCCCACGUAGGAAGCAUCACUAUAUACCACAAAGGUCUCCCCCGGCGUCAGUAGAGCAAGCACCGGGGUCGUGGUCAACCUUUCCUUUAACUCCUCGAAGCUUCGCUCGCAUUCGGGGUUCCAAACAUUCUUCACCCCUUUGUGUGUAAGGCGCGUUAGUGGAGUAGUUAUUUUAGCAAACCCCUCCACGAACCGCCGGUAGUAGCCUGCUAGCCCUAGGAAACUGCGGACCUCUGAUACACUUGUCGGGCGAGGCCAAUCCUUAAUUGCCUCCACUUUCCCCGGAUCCACCGAGAUACCAUCGCCCGAAAUUACAUGACCAAGGAAAGUGACCUCCGAUAGCCAAAAGUCGCAUUUCUUCAACUUGGCAUAUAACUUUUCUUUUCGGAGUAUUUCGAACACGGUCCUCAAGUGCUCCUCGUGUUCUUUCUCGGUCCGAGAAUAUACCAAUACGUCGUCAAUGAAUACCACGACGCACCGGUCCAAUAGCGGACGGAAGACUCUAUUCAUUAAGUUCAUGAACGUCGCCGGGGCGUUAGUAAGCCCAAACGGCAUCACCGUGAACUCAUAAUGGCCAUACCGCGUACGGUGCGCCGUCUUGUGCAUAUCCUUGGGUUGUAUCUUCAACUGAUGAUACCCCGAUUGAAGAUCAAUCUUUGAAUAUACCUUUGACCCCUGCAGCUGAUCGAAUAAAUCAUCAAUCCUCGGCAGCGGGUACUUAUUCUUCACGGUGACCUUGUUCAACUCGCGGUAAUCCACGCAGAGUCGAAGUGUGCCGUUCUUCUUUUUAACGAAUAGCACCGGAGCUCCCCAAGGCGACACACUCGGCCUUACAAAGCCUUUGUCGAGCAAGUCUUGCAACUGUGCCUUAAGCUCUUUUAGCUCCGCCGGUGCCAUUCUAUACGGGGCCUUCGAGAUUGGUGCCGCCCCCGGGACCAAGUCAAUAACGAACUCGAUCUCCCGGUCCGGGGGCAAUCCCGGUAACUCUGCCGGAAAUACAUCCGGAAAUUCGCAUACCACCCGAAUGCCUCCCAAAUCCGGGUGUUCUCUUUGGGCUUCUACCAUUGUCGCCAAAUAGGCUACACAACCACCUUUUAUCAUUUUCCUCGCCCGUGCCGCCGACACGGUCGCUGCGAAAAGUGAGCUUUUAGCUGCCUGAUACACUAGCUCCUCUCGGUUAGGCUUACGAAACGUGAUCACCUUACUCUCACAAUCUAUCACGGCAUAAUACUUGGAGAGCCAGUUGGUCCCCAAGAUCACGUCGAAACCCCACAUCCGGUUCAACACCAAUAGAUCAAUCGGCAUGACCCAGUCACCUAUCUGCACUGGGCACGCUACACAUUCUUCGUGAAUAUGAAAAGUAUGCUUGACCGAAUUUACCGUCCAAUAGUCAUAAUGGUGCACGAUCUUAAUACCAUGAGUCCUAGCGAAUGAUGCAUUUAUGAAUGAAUGCGAUGCACCUGUGUCGAAUAAAGCUCUAGCUCUGGUGCCUCUGAUCGAGAUAAUACCUGUCACGAUGUCGUCGGGGACAGGAAUCGGCUCCUCCUGCACCUGAGUGGCAAAAACCCGCCCACUCGGUGCCCUCGAUGCCUCCGGCUGACGCGAAGAAGAUGAACGUCCAACCGACAUAGCCGGUGGUAACCCCGCCUGCUGUCUCGGGGUAUAAGGAACUGAUGCCGAGGUAGGCGCAAAUGAACCCCAGCUCGGGCACUCCCAUGACAUGUGCCCGGGCUGGCCGCACCUGAAGCACUUUCCCUCGCGCUGCGGGCAUACCGGCGGCCGAUGAUCGCCACCGCAAAUGACACAACGGAACGGCCUGCCACUCCUUGACUGCUGUCGGGGAUACCGAGGGGGCUUCUUUGCAUUUGACCGGCCCCCGGCACUGCCCGCCGCCCGCUUCUUCCCCUUGUCCCUUGACUCCGCCAUUGCCUCGCGCUCCUCUCGCACGUGGGCGCUACCGUGCUCCGCCCACAAGGCUCAGUCAAAGACCUCCGCAAAGGUCGUCAACUUGAGGAUUUGCACUCUCUCGUAAAUCCUCGGCUGGAAUCCUCGUAAGAACCAGUCAGCCCGGUCCCGGUCAUCACGAACAACCUCCGGAACGCAGUCGAUAAGGUGGGAAAACUCCUGCUCGUAGUCUGCCACGGAGCGGUCCCCCUGUCGCAACUUGCGGAAUUUCUCUUGCAACUUCCACUUCACCGUAUUGGGGAAGUAGUUGGCAAACACCGCCCUCCGAAACUCCUCCCACAUCAUAAGCGGAAGAUCGGGCGAUCGAUCCCGCCUAACACGCUUCCACCACACCUUCGCCGCCUUCUCGAGGCAAUGUGUGGCGAGGUACACCUUGUCCCUCUCCAAGGUGUUAAGAUCCUCAAAGAGUGUCUCCAUGGAGUCGAUCCAUGACUCCACGAUCGCCGGCUCCACCACUCCACCUUCGAAGGUGGGUGGGUUAAAUUCUGAAACUGAAUGGGAGCUGCCAACGUGCGCUCCCGCUCCGCCUCCUCCGCCGCACUAUCGGGAUUUGAGGUCCCCGAUCCUGCCGGCACCAUCGUGACUGACACGGCCGCCGCGGCCACAACCUUGGCAGCACUCGGCACCACUGCAGGAGGCGCGGGGUGCACGGCCUCCCCGGGCGCCGCCGCCGCCGCCUGUUGCCGCUCCAACGCCUCCUGGAGCCUCUAGAUCUGCUCCCCUUGGCGCUGAACGGACUCAGCCUGCUGCCGCACUACGCCAAUAAGCGCGGCCAUCUGCUCCCAAAGCUCUCCGUCGCCACUUGCUCCGGGUUGCACAGGAGCCGCAUUUGGCUCCUCGGCCAUAGACCUCGUCCGCGGUCGACCAUGAGGCAACUUAGGUCGUCCACGAGGCGGCAUCGCUUCCUGAAAUGAAGCAAUUCACAUUAGUUACUCAGACAAUAUACUCGAUUAUACCCAAUCCGGCGAAAGCAUACCAGCGCAUUUAUUUUUCUUCCAAAGCAUCAUGUCGUCGGCCGCCGAUCACAACACAAAGGAAAGAAAACAAAUAACAACUUUAAGUUUAGUCCCUAACCACAUUAGAGACAUAAUUACAUCAACCCAAUAAAUGCCUUCGCUAUAACUUGUUCAACGUCACUCACGUUUCCCUAGAUCCUUAAGGUCUUUCCAUUCCUAAGGGUCUCUAGGUCCAUCCUAUGCUUUCACCUUUGGCUCUUUUACGCUCUGAUACCAUAAUAUCUGUCACGCCCCGAGCCCGAUCCUUUUUGGCCUGUUCGAGAGCGUCAAACAGACGCCGAACGAACAGAGCUUCCCCUGUCCGCCCAAGGCUCAACACUAGUAUCAAUAGAGUAUAAAUUUGCAUAAGCGGAAGCAUACACAAUGGCUUGCACGAGGGCAAGCAAUAGCCAAGGCGAAAAAAUUAACCAUUUAGUAUACAAGUAAUAUGACUAAAUUUAAAUCACAUACAUGUAUCCAACUAUAAUCAAGUUCUGUCACAUUCUUGCAUCAUUUCUUUUUACAUCUCAUUUCUCCCAAAAUAUAACUUUUGACAUUUAAAGUAAAUAUUCUUUACAUCAUUCAUUAAAGCAAGUUCAUAAUACUAANUGGGAUCCCUACCAAGAUUUUCGAAUCUUUGGAAUAAUCUCUCGAAGGGUACACUUAGAUUCGAUAGAAAACGAAUCCUUACUCUAGUUAGAGCCUCUUUACGUUUUUAUUGUACAAUCCCGUAGGGUUUCUUCCCAAAACGGGUUCAACCCAAAACUAGAUAAAACUAGUACAUCUUUGGAUUAACUCCCAUAAAAUUUGCGCAACCUCGCGAGCCAAGCUGUUAGGCUGCUCACAUGCGUUUCAUUAAUUGUUUUUGCAGUAAAAGGUAUGUCUAUCGGUGUCGUGCGCCUGAUCCCGAAGUUUUUAAGGUUCUUUAAGUGGCAUCGUAGGAACACUGGUAGAUUCCACCCACCACGUAAGGUUCCUGUAGCUUUUAGAGAAAUACAGAUUUCGCAGUAUAAACUCGUAUAUAUAAAUAUAACUCGUACAACGUAUCAUCCCAAUUAACAUUUAAAAGAAACGUACUAUACUCAAGAUUACGAACUCUUUAUCAUCAUUUACUUACUCUUAACCAUUGGGAUAUAUACGUACUGUUCCCUGUUCUUGGAUCUUCCCAAUCAUUUGUUUACACUGUACAACUGUAUUUAAAUCGUUCACUGUAACUACUCAGAUCUCCUGAAUCUUUUGUUCACACCGUAGUAACUGUUUCUUGUUCUUGUUCAUCACUGUAAUACUGUAUUUGUGGAAUCUUAAUUCCCAGUAUACAUGUACCAAGAGGAACUUCAGUUCCUUACCUAACUUGAAUUUUAGGAAUUUCAAUUCCUAACUAGCAUGAGUGGAUUAUCAGGAACGAGCUCCCGCCAUCGAGGGGGAGCCCGCUACACGAGGCCUCAACAGUAGUGACCCAGCAUCGCCAAUAGAGGGGUCUCCCGCCAGGGCAGCCCAACAUCGUCAAUAGAGGAGCUGUUAUCCCUAAACCCAACCACUCAAACACUCCCGCUUUGGAUGCCCGAUCGGUACUCUAACCCAUUAUUUUUCAAUUAGGACGUAAGUUGUACUCGUAAGAUAGCUCGUAUCAAAAUAAAUAACAAGUCCGUAUAAUCGACGUAAACAAUCAACCAAUAAUAGAUAAGAAAGAAGAUAAUACGGACUAAUCUGGAUCACCCUAUCAGCCGCACCAACCAACGGCUUGGGUGACCCUUGAAACAACAUCAAGAUCUACUUUGAGCCCUAGUGAUCCACCAUGAGAGGGGUCUAAGAAAUCCAUGUUUUUCAUGGAGUCAUGGUCCUUAGAGGAUUUCCUCACUUGUAGAGAGAUCAAAAUCCAAACAUCUAAGGUCUAAACCCAAACCCUAAACUCAUUUUUGCAUAAGGACUCACCUUUACCCAAGCUCCACCAAAGCCUACUUGUUGGAGAGCUUUUAGGACCACCAAAGCCACCAAAAUCCACUUCUCCAAGCUCUUCUCCACCUUCUCCAAGCUCUAGGGCUUGCUUUCUAGAGAGAGAAAGAGAGGAAAAUGAGAGAGAGGGUGAAAUGGGUGUUGGCUGUGAGGGGAAGGGGUAUUAGGCUAUUAACAUGUUGUAACAUUUGCCAAAAAGUCCUCCCAAUCUUUAUAUUUUGCAGCAGACCUCGUUUUGCUGUCGGGCCCAAAGUGUACCGGUACACUUUUUCGUGUUACCGGUUACACGACUACGCAGAGGCAAACCCGAGAGCAAAUCUGUCAGUUUCGCCCAAAGUGUACCGGUACACUUUUUCGUGUCACCGGUUACACGACUAUGCAGAGGCAAACCCGAGAGCAAAUCUGUCAGUUUCGCCCAAAGUGUACCGGUACACUUUUUCGUGUCACCGGUUUCAGCAUGUGUAACCGGUGACAGGUCGCUUGCUGUACCGGUACACAUUGCUCCAGACCUGAUUUUUGGCUCCGUCUCGAUUCUAUUUUGCGCUGAUCGAUACCAAAACCCUUCUAACACUUCUAGAAUUCAUUUUUAACCCUCCCAACAGUGUUGGUAAGUUAAUUGGAACUCGCCCAAUUAAUCCAUUCGCGCACUUUAGUCAGUUUGCCUAAAGUUCGUCAUUUUCUAUCUAGGUUUCAAUACGUUACACCCAAUCUCGCCUCUUCCUUACGAGAUCGAUUACUUCACUAAACUCAUCCACCUUCGCCACGAUAGCGUUCUUGAUGGUGGAGAAAUCAAAUCCGAAUCCAGGCCCUAGGAUUCUACCUCUUCAGAACCUUCCGGCUAAACUCCAGCGACGACUACACGC